UUCCUACGGGACGCAGCAGUGGGGGAUAUUGCACAAUGGGGGGAACCCUGAUGCAGCGACGCCGCGUGGGUGAAGAAGCGCCUCGGCGCGUAAAGCCCUGUCAGCAGGGAAGAAAAUGACGGUACCUGAAGAAGAAGCCCCGGCUAACUACGUGCCAGCAGCCGCGGUAAUACGUAGGGGGCAAGCGUUAUCCGGAUUUACUGGGUGUAAAGGGAGCGUAGGUGGCAUGGCAAGCCAGAAGUGAAAACCCGGGGCUUAACCCCGCGGAUUGCUUUUGGAACUGUCAGGCUGGAGUGCAGGAGGGG
rnacentral:rRNA from 1 species